AGAGCAAUCAAUGGUGGAGCUGCCACCAGUUCAAGUCCUGGUAGAGCAAUCAAUUGGCAAACUGUAUCUUUGUCUGAAUUUCCUCGAAUAACAUCUGUAAAUGAGAAAGAUUAGUCUUGUGAUUUAGGUCCUCCCAAAAGCUUGGUUGUGUCCAGGUUGGUUUUUUUGGGUCUUUUUAACAAAUAAUUGGUAUCAUCUAUCACUGCGGUAUGUAUUUGCCUGUAAUUGAUUGACAGAACGAAUGGGAGGAAGCUCUGUUGCCUCUUGGUUAGUUGGAAGUCGUUGACGUCGAUGGAUGCUUUCUUUGUUUUUGUACAAUUCAAUGGGAAUAUUUUAAUGUGCAAAAAAAAAAAAAAAUACCCAUCCGCGACCACCACUCCAAAAAAACCAAGAGAAAACAGA
rnacentral:misc_RNA from 1 species